ACACCUCUGGGGUGUUCGUGAGUGACUGGGUAGUACCCUUGAGCCUAGUUUUAUACCCCGGGAGCCGGUUUUGCGGAGGGCAUGUGCAGGUCCGCACUGCGGAAAGCCUACGUCCCCCGCCGAAGCGCCCACUUGAACCGCUGGUUCAAGGUCGAAAGUCACCACGGCACUUACGGAGUGUG
rnacentral:other from 1 species